rnacentral:rRNA from 1 species
UACGUAGGGACCAAGCGUUGUUCGGAUUUACUGGGCGUAAAGGGCGCGUAGGCGGCAAUUCAAGUCAUCUGUGAAAUCUCCGGGCUUAACCCGGAACGGUCAGAUGAUACUGCUUUGCUAGAGUGCGGAAGGGGCAAUCGGAAUUCUUGGUGUAGCGGUGAAAUGCGUAGAUAUCAAGAGGAACACCCGUGGCGAAGGCGGCUCUCUGGGACGGUACUGACGCUGAGACGCGAAAGCGUGGGGAGCGAACAGG